UAGGGAAUAUUGCUUAAUGGGCGAAAGCCUGAAGCAGCAACGCCGCGUGCACGAUGAAGGUCUUCGGAUCGUAAAGUGCUUUUUUAGAGGAUGAGGAAGGACAGUACUCUAAGAAUAAGCCUCGGCUAACUACGUGCCAGCAGCCGCGGUAAAACGUAGGAGGCGAGCGUUAUCCGGAUUUACUGGGCGUAAAGCGUGUGCAGGUGGUUUGGUAAGUUGGAUGAGAAAGCUCCUGGCUUAACUGGGAGAGGUCGUUCAAUACUGCCAGACUCGAGAGUGAGAGAGGGAGGUGGAAUUCCGGGUGUAGUGGUGAAAUGCGUAGAUAUCCGGAGGAACACCAGUGGCGAAAGCGGCCUCCUGGCUCAUUUCUGACACUCAUACACGAAAGCUAGGGUAGCAAACGG
rnacentral:rRNA from 1 species